CCUACGGGAGGCAGCAGUGGGGGAUAUUGGGCAAUGGGCGCAAGCCUGACCCAGCGACGCCGCGUGAAGGAAGAAGGCUUUCGGGUUGUAAACUUCUGUUGGCAGGGAAGAGUGGCAUACGUUACCUGCCGCAUCAGCCACGGCUAACUACGUGCCAGCAGCCGCGGUAAUACGUAGGUGGCAAGCGUUGUCCGGAUUUACUGGGGGUAAAGGGCGUGUAGCCGGGUUGACAAGUCAGAUGUGAAAUCCUGCGGCUUAACCGCAGAACUGCAUUUGAAACUGUUGAUCUGGAGUACUGGAGAGGAAGAUGGAAUUCCUAGUGUAGCGGUGAAAUGCGUAGAUAUUAGGAGGAACACCAGUGGCGAAGGCGGUCUGCUGGACAGCAACUGACGGUGAGGCGCGAAAGCGUGGGGAGCAAACAGGAUUAGAUACCCCAGUAGUC
rnacentral:rRNA from 1 species